rnacentral:rRNA from 1 species
UACGUAGGUGGCAAGUGUUGUCCGGAUUUAUUGGGUUUAAAGGGUGCGUAGGCGGCCCCAUAAGUCAGUGCUGAAAUACUCUAGCUCAACUAGAGGGGUGGCAUUGAUACUGCGGGGCUUGAGUGGAGUCGAGGUAGGCGGAAUUGACGGUGUAGCGGUGAAAUGCUUAGAUAUCGUCAAGAACACCGAUAGUGUAGACAGCUUACUAGGCUUCAACUGACGCUGAGGCACGAAAGUGUGGGGAUCAAACAGG